rnacentral:rRNA from 1 species
GAUGAACGCUGGCGGCGUGCCUAAUACAUGCAAGUCGAGCGAAUGGAUUAAGAGCUUGCUCUUAUGAAGUUAGCGGCGGACGGGUGAGUAACACGUGGGUAACCUGCCCAUAAGACUGGGAUAACUCCGGGAAACCGGGGCUAAUACCGGAUAACAUUUUGAACCGAAUGGUUCGAAAUUGAAAGGCGGCUUCGGCUGUCACUUAUGGAUGGACCCGCGUCGCAUUAGCUAGUUGGUGAGGUAACGGCUCACCAAGGCAACGAUGGGUAGCCGACCUGAGAGGGUGAUCGGCCACACUGGGACUGAGACACGGCCCAGACUCCUACGGGAGGCAGCAGUAGGGAAUCUUCCGCAAUGGACGAAAGUCUGACGGAGCAACGCCGCGUGAGUGAUGAAGGCUUUCGGGUCGUAAAACUCUGUUGUUAGGGAAGAACAAGUGCUAGUUGAAUAAGCUGGCACCUUGACGGUACCUAACCAGAAAGCCACGGCUAACUACGUGCCAGCCGCCGCGGUAA